GGAAAAAGGAAAAUCUGCUGAUAGCUGAUAGUAUUUUGGAAAAAGUUUCUUCAUUCUGACUCUGUUAAAGUCUCCCAACACAAUAAAGUCUCACUCUGGGUUAAAAUCCCUGAUCUGCUAAUGACGCUGCACCUUCAUCCACAGCGGAUGUCAGCUUGUGAUGGGAUGUAAAGAUGGGAGAGGAGAGCUGAGCUGAGAUGGAUGAUAACACUGUCCAGUGUGAUGGCAGCUCCUGACGUGUCUGCUUCUGCCCGAUUCUUUCUGUGUUUGCUUUGAGUUUAGCUGAAGCUUGGACAUCGCCUGCCUUCUGGUCGAGGACCCUGAUACUCCUGAAGCUGCAGAGAAAGCGAAACAACAGUUUAAUUGGCAUUGAGGACGAGCACGAAGAUGUUUGCAGCUGAGGCCAAAAAACUGAUUGACAAGGUGGGAGAUAAAGAGCUCAUCUAUAAUGAGAGCCUAAUCAAGAAAGUAGAUCUGCUGACUCUGGUCAAAGUCAGCAAAGGAAAAUUCUGGCCAGUGCAAAAGUACAAGAUAAUGCAACUCAGUCUGCCCGAGCUCAUGGAGGUGGAAGACUUCAGCCCAGAGUGCACAGAUGAGCCCUUUGUGAGUAAUUUCAUGACUUCAACAAAGACGAGCGGGAGAGGAGGGUUAGGUGGAAAAGACAUUGGUGUGUAUGAAGCUGAAGUGAAUGCAGGCGCUGACAGUAUGGAUGGACUAGUUCAGCCCGUCAACAUGAUGUCGAAGAAAGUCGACCUUAAAGCCCUGAGGAGCGAGCUCAGUGACGGGACCAUAAAAACAGACAAAGUGAACCUGCUGGCACUGAAAACGAAGGAUAAACUGGCUUUUGUUCACCAGACAAUUUACAACUCUUCUCCUGUCACACUUAUUAGAAAGUGCACGAGGGAUGGGUCCUUGUUAGCCUCCUGCAUAAAGAUACUGAGUCUGUUUGCAAAGGGCCACAGAAAAGAGAAGACAAGCUUCACUGUUCCAGAAAAAUCCACCUUUGCUUACGGCCUGGUGGAGAUAAAGAUAGAGGAUGAGAAGCUAAAGAUCUCGUGUGAACCCUGGACUCGAGGUGCCCUCGAUGGACUCUUUGGCGAUGACAUAGAGAGUGCGAUGCUACAACAGAUUAAAGAAGAACUAAAGAUGAAGGAUGCUUUUCUGCAGCCGCUGGCAGAUCUUCCCGAGUCGACCCGUCAUGAUCUACUGAAGAAGCUCAGCGAGCUUGCUGAGGAUGGGGAUACUCUCUCUCUGCUGGAGCAAACAUUGGAUCACUGCAGUAAUGGAGCAUUUGAAGGCACUUUGUCUCAGGCUGCCUCCUCCUUCAUGGACCUUCUCGAUAUUUCAAACAUCUCCACUGCUGUGAAGGAUGCUGUUCACCUGUUGGUCAGCGCGUUGGACACUCUGCCAGAUGAAGUGCCGCCACUUCUGACCUGCUGCAGUCCAGACACUCUGAGAGUGCUCAACCAGUUGGUGGGUCCAUUCACUCAUUCAUCUGCAUUCAUCUACAUGCUCCUCUCAACAGCUGCCAGCCUCAUCACACCUUAUCCUACAGACUGAGCACACUAAACAUGUGUAAUCUGACAGCUUAAAGCAUCGUCUGUCAUGUUUUUGUAAUGAAGAAGAAUAAACUAAAACUAAACAGAAAAUCCCACAUGUGUAAAAGCACAUCAGCAGCAGCUCCGCCCACUAUCAGCAGCCUGUGGGCGGAGUCUUCCUCAUGUUUGAAUCUGAUCAGACAACAGCUCCCUCUCUGCUUCUCCAGGUGGAUGGUCUGAAGGACGGUCGGGCCACACUGCCAGAGUCCCUGCCCGUCCCCCUGCAGGAGGGAGGGGAGCUCCGCUGGGCGGCCGAGUUCAUCUGUUUGAACGAUCAGAAGCUGAAAGAGUUGAGUGACGGCUGGGACCGGCCCGAGCUGCCCCCAGAGGUUCUGCUGGAGGUUCUGUGCCUCGCUGUGCAGGGACUCAGCCUCCUGAUGCAGCCCACAACAAACCCUUAAUGUCAGCUGCUGUGAUCUUUGUUAACCUGUUUUCACAGCAGCGUUCUGCAUCUUUGAACGUUUCUGCCAUUGUUUCCUGAACUUUCAUCUGUCAAAGAUCAAAAACAAAAAGAAUAAUCUAAUAAAAUAUAUAUAUAUUUUUAAAUAAAUAAAACUUCAUACUUUUAUGUUCGGCUCAUGGUUUUAAUAUUUUAUUAGUUUUUGCUGCACUCCUUUAUGUUCUGUCCUGUUCCCUCCUCUGUGCCCCUGACCCUGUUUCCAUGCUUGUUUACUGUUAGUUAUUUUUACAAUAUUGAUAUAGAACUAAUCUCUUGAAAUAUCAUAUAUCAGAUUUGGUACUUGAGAGACAAGAAAAAGAAGUGACAGCAUGCAGAGAAGGAGGCUAAACAUUGUGCCCUCUGCUCCAGAGACAGUCCUCACAAACAGGCGAUAGAAACUGUAGGGUCAGAGUCUGGACUGAACCUGUCAAGAGUAUUUUUGUUUUUAAAGGUUUUAUUAUUCAUAUAAUAAUCAGCUAAGAGUGUUUAUAUUUCUGUCUUGUACUCAACCAGCUGCAUAUUUUAAUUGCUGGCUCUCUACUCUGUAACGGAAACUGUUUGCCUUCACAUUAAUUGUCAGCAGCAGGAAACCGCCACCCAAGAGCAAGAAACAACCUUGUAGAGAAUACAAAGUUCUUGAGAAAUCCCACCUGCUUGCUUGACAAGAUAAGCAUGAUAUUUCCUUUUUUGUAUGCUUCCUGUUGUGUAUAAAUAAAGGCAGCGAGCUGCUCCACGGUGUGUGAGUCUCCCCCUGAGUCUCUCACCCGUGCACGUUAAACUGC
ensembl:lncRNA